rnacentral:lncRNA from 1 species
UAGAGAUGAAAAAUGAUAGGAUAGCCAACCACGAGAUCGACAUCACAACAUCAUCCUCCACGACCUCAUGGUGUUAGAUUAAAUGGGCCGGUGGCCUAUUAAUUCAAUUAAAUCCCAAGGCCCAUUCACAUGGUGGUAGUUACAUUUGGAAUAAAACCACGUUGGAAGUUGAGAGGGUCCUAACCAACUUAUAAGGUGGAGCCUUGCUGCACCUGUUGAGAAGUUAAGAAAGGGAUAGCAGGAUG